UUCUCUUAAGUCAGGUAGUCGGCUUUUAUAGGCAAACUCAGCUAGAGCAAAGUUGUAGUCAUAGAUCGUUUGCAGUAGAUUGUCUUGUUGUGUAGGAACUUAUAGGAGGUUUUAGGACCAGUAGAUCCUUGGCUAGUCUUUGUUGAGCCGACUUUCCACAAUUUAUUUUCAUCGGAUCGUAUGAUGAACUGCAACCCAUAUGCUCACAGCC
rnacentral:lncRNA from 1 species